UUACGGCCACAUCAACUCAAAACACCGGUUCCCGUACGAUCACCAAAGUUAAGCAUCGUCGAGACUGAUCAGUACCUAGAUGGGUGACCU